rnacentral:rRNA from 1 species
AAUAUUGGACAAUGGGCGCAAGCCUGAUCCAGCCAUGCCGCGUGGGUGAAGAAGGCCUUCGGGUUGUAAAGCCCUUUUGUUGGGNAAGAANGGCAGUNGAUUAAUACUCGGUUGUUNUGACGGUACCCACAGAAUAAGCACCGGCUAACUUCGUGCCAGCAGCCGCGGUAAUACGAAGGGUGCAAGCGUUAAUCGGAAUUACUGGGCGUAAAGCGNGCGUAGGUGGUUGUUUAAGUCNGAUGUGAAAUCCCCGGGCUCAACCUGGGAACUGCAUUGGAUACUGGGCGAGCUAGAGUGUGGUAGAGGGGAGUGGAAUUCCCGGUGUAGCAGUGAAAUGCGUAGAGAUCGGGAGGAACACCCAUGGCGAAGGCGGCC